ACCAGCGUUGUCCGGAUUUACUGGGCGUAAAGAGCGCGCAGGCGGUCGUUCAAGUCGAGUGUGAAAGCCCCCGGCUCAACUGGGGAGGGUCACUCGAUACUGAUCGACUGGAAGGCAGGAGAGGGUAGUGGAAUUCCCGGUGUAGUGGUGAAAUGCGUAGAUAUCGGGAGGAACACCAGUGGCGAAGGCGACUACCUGGACUGGUUCUUGACGCUGAGGCGCGAAAGCUAGGGGAGCAAACGGG
rnacentral:rRNA from 1 species